CGUCUACUCCCUCCGUCCGAAAAUACUUAUCAUCAAAAUGGAUAAAAAGAUAUGUAUCUAGAACUAAAAUACAUCUAGAUACAUCCUCUUUUAUCCAUUAUGAUGACAAGUAUUUCCAGACGGAGGGAGUACUAC
rnacentral:pre_miRNA from 1 species